rnacentral:rRNA from 1 species
UGGAGGAAAGUAGGGGAUCGUAAGACCUUGCGCUUUUGGAGCGGCCGAUGUCUGAUUAGCUAGUUGGUGGGGUAAUGGCCUACCAAAGCUUCGAUCAGUAGCUGGUCUGAGAGGACGGCCAGCCACACUGGGACUGAGACACGGCCCAGACUCCUACGGGAGGCAGCAGUGGGGAAUUUUGGACAAUGGGCGCAAGCCUGAUCCAGCCAUGCCGCGUGAGUGAAGAAGGCCUUCGGGUUGUAAAGCUCUUCCAGCCGGGAAGAAAAGGCUGCGACUAAUAAUCGCAGUUCAUGACGGUACCGGAAGAAGAAGCACCGGCUAACUACGUGCCAGCAGCCGCGGUAAUACGUAGGGUGCGAGCGUUAAUCGGAAUUACUGGGCGUAAAGGGUGCGCAGGCGGUUUUGUAAGUCAGAUGUGA